rnacentral:misc_RNA from 1 species
GUAGGUCCUCGAAAGAGGAUCUAUGUCUUUAUCACAUCACACCCGUCGUAUGUCUAGAAUGUCAACAUCAUGUAUCGUAGACCGUCGGAAGGCGGUUCGGUCGAUAUAUGAUAAUAAAUUACAACUUUCAGCAAUGGAUCUCUUGGUUCUCGCAUCGAUGAAGAACGCAGCGAAUUGCGAUAAGUAAUGUGAAUUGCAGAUUUCCAGUGAAUCAUCGAAUCUUUGAACGCACCUUGCGCUCCUUGGUAUUCCGAGGAGCAUGCCUGUUUGAGUGUCAUUUAAUUAUCAACCAUGUCUCGAUUGAUUUCGAGCGCAUGGCUUGGAUGUGGGGGUUGCUGGCCGUGAAAGCGGUCGGCUCUCCUUAAAUGCAUUAGCAAAGGGGUGUGCUAUGGUCUUCUGGACGUGCACGG